AAGAGGGUGGAGGUGUGGCCUCUGGACAGUGCUGGGGGAAAGGGUACCCUGGACUCGGAGCUCUCCACAGUGGAGCUCAGGACCUGCUUUUCAUUUUCUACCCCCAGGGACCACUGCAGUGCUGGGUACAGAGAGGACACCAGAGCAUCUGAGACAAGUACAGCUAUUGGAGCCAGACCGCCUGGGUUUGAAUCCUGCCUUUGCUACUGAUGAAUUAUGUAACCUUGGGCAAGUUGCUGAACCUCUCCAAGCCUCAAUUCCCUCAUCAAUAAAAUGGGGAUCUAUA